GAGAAAGAAACUAACAAGGAUUCCCCUAGUAACGGCGAGUGAAGCGGGAUGAGCUCAAGCUUAAAAUCUCUGUGCAGGUUCUGCAUGGCGAAUUGUAGUCUAUGGAGGCGAUGUCAGUGCGGUUGUGCGGGAUAAGUUCCUUGGAAGAGGACAGCAUCGAGGGUGAUACUCCCGUAUGUGCCUGUACAGCUGCGCGUACGACACGUUUUCUUUGAGUCGCGUUGUUUGGGAAUGCAGCGCAAAGUAGGUGGUAAAUUCCAUCUAAAGCUAAAUAUUGGUGCGAGACCGAUAGCGAACAAGUACCGUGAGGGAAAGAUGAAAAGAACUUUGAAAAGAGAGUUAAAGAGUACCUGAAACUGCUGAAAGGGAAUCGAAUCGUUUCCAGUGUCUAUAAUCCAUGACAUAUUUCAUUGGCGCGUGAAUGCGUGCAGCGUUUUGGAAGUGGGUUUCCUCUCCUGGCGUUGUUGUGCGUUUGCUUGCUGGUGCCCUGUGUUGUGGUGGGACGUCAGAGUCAGUUCGUAUGCCGCGGGAAAUGGCUGUCAGGGAGGUAGGUCGCUUCGGUGAUUGUUAUAGCCUGGCAGUUAGUAGUCGUGGUUGGGACUGAGGUGCCUACAACGCGCUUUCGAGUCUGCGGGACUCUCGUCUGGUUGCCUGCUUGGACAGCUUGCUGUGCUAGUGGUCACAUCGGGCGAUUGAGAUCUGUAGUAACUUGUUGCCGUUCGGACUUGACGAA
rnacentral:rRNA from 1 species